GAGGCAAGAUAGGCGUGUGGGAGGGAUCAAUGGGUCCCCUCUUCUCUCCCUCCCCUUCCAUCUGCUCUUCAGAGGCCGCACCAGCCAAUCUCUGUCGUCGUCGCCGCCGCCUCCCUGCAGCAAGAAGAGACGCAGCUGCUGCCGCUGCCCCCCCAUGCCUGUCUCCAGGCAGGCGGGAGAGCCGAGCCGAGCCCGAGCACUAGGAGCGGCUGCUGCUGCUGCUUCACCUCCUCCCCCCGCCUCCUUCCUCUCCACACGCCCUGCGGGCGCCACCGAAGGAAAAAUCUAGCCGCCGCCGCCUCGUCUGCCCGAUCGCUCUCCCACCCACCCUUGUACGUUUUUUUAAACCUCGGGACGGACUCCAGCCCUCUGGCCUUGUACCUUUCUUCCUCCCGCGGGCAAGGAGAAAAAAAGAAGCGUCCUCAGUUCUCGGCAGACCCAGCGUUCCUCCGUUGAGUUAGAUCGACCUUCCAGGGAGGAGGGAAUUUUGGAUCACCGGAUCACCCGCUCCCAAGAUUUCUCUUCCCUCCCAAUUCUUCGCUCUAUUGGAUUUCUACAGGAUUUAUUCGAGAUGCAGCUCUCUUUCGACACACACACACACACUCGAGAUUUCUCCGCUUUGUUAACAGAGAUGGCCCUUUUUCCACACUGGAUUCCCCCCCCAUAACCUAAAGAAAAGAGACGAGCUGAUCCCUCAAAUACUCUCGAAGUGAGAGCUAGUACUUACCUCCCACUAACAAAAUCCCUUUCAACAAAUUCUAGUGACCUCCCAAUUUGUAUCCCCCGAAUCGUUUUCCCGCCGCCCCGAUCACAAAAGAAGCCAGCCACUUAGCGAGAACGAUAGCUCUUCACCACUGUCGGGCAGCGUGGUCGAGAAGGCAGGCUCUCGCUUUCCCCCAGAUUAACUCGCCUUCGAUCACGCGGAAGACGAAAGGAGCCUUUCCCGUUGUAAGCGAGAGGUUCAGGUUUCUCCCCAAACCCUGUACCACAGCGCGAAGCAACGGAUCCCGCGCCGUCAGCCUCGGAACAGGCAGCGAACCAAUGCCCGGUGUGUGUGAAGGGGGCCGCCAGGCGAGUUCCGCGUCUCUUUUCUCUCCGUCGGUCUAACCUCGUCGAGGCGGUUAAUAAGGCUGAGCCAAGCCCGCCUCGUUGUGGCGGCGGCAGUCGCGAGCGGGGAGGAGCAGGAGCCGGAGAGCCGCUGCAGUAGCAGCAGCCCCAUCGGAGCCGCUGGUGGAAGGGGGGCGGGGAAGGCAGGCUGGCGGGAGGGAGAAAUGAAUGCCCGGCUGGGGGCGUCCAGGCAGAGCCGAGGGAGGGCAGCACGUCGUGGCGGCUGCUCCAGCAGCCUCCUCCUCCACCACCAGCGCCCAGACCCCCGGGGAGUGCCUCCCCCUGCGCGCCUAGGCGCACGGGAACUCGGCGAGCCAAACCCCGUUGACCCGAUCCUCCACACUCCUCCACAACCCCCCCAAAAAAUACUCCACGUCGCGGGAGAGAAAAGAGGAGGGAGGGCCGCCGAAAAGCUCGCCUGAAUGGACCCACCCUCCGGAUGGCGGAGCGUGCUGGCUGUAGCCGGUCGAAAAAGCUAUGGUGACCGACCUCGCCAAAGGUUUCCGGCGAGGGAGAAAAGUGGGGAACAGUAGUCUUAAAAACAAAAAAAGCUACAGCUUUUCUUUCUGUCUUUCAGAGUUAACGUGCCGCUACCAUGGAAAGGGGGGGAUUGUCGCGCUUCCCCCACCGUACAUUGGCUUCUCCCCCUCUGCAGGCAGCCAGAGGCGUACAAGGCGGCGGCUUGGUUCUUUCUACCGCCUCCCCUUUCUUUUUUUAACCCGAGCGGAGGCCCCUCGGUUCUAAAAGACGCCCAGAGCUGGAGAAAGAAUAGGGGGGUCGGAUCUCUGAACCCCUAGACUACACCGCCUGGUUAUUUCUCGCUCCAACCCCUCCUUGCCGCCGAGCAAAGCGGGGAUUGGUGUUCGAGAAGCAGCCGCCACCGCCGCCACCUUCCUUCUCGCUCUCGCCUUGCCAUGGCCGAACGUCGCGGCCUCUCUUGGCUAGCGAACGCGGGGAAGCCAGGAAAGGGCCCCCGAUUCGAGUCCUAUAAAUGUGCCACUAGAUGUGAUGGGGACGGGAGGAAUGCAACCUCCAAAUAUGCUUUUUAAAAAAUGUUCAGUCCUCAAGUAUGAUUAUAUUUAAAAUAACACCAGCCCCCCCCCACAAAUGUGGUUGACAAAAAAAAAUCAAAAUGCUAUUUCGUUUUAAAAAAAACCCGAAAAACGAGAUGAAGCCCACAUUUUUCAGCCUUACCGAGGAAACAGGAGACGUUGGAAGGAGAAAACAGCAACGGUUGCUGCUCACAACAGCAGCAGCCGCCUGCUUGGCUUCCUCCACUGCCCGAGCUCGAGGAGGUAACAAAAGCGCCUCCCUCCAGCCCCAGAUGGCCGAGCGCAGCGUCGGGUUAAUGGCGAGCUCCACAUGCGCUCGUACUGCCGCAAAGCCAGCCCCGGCUGUAGGCAGCGUCGCCUCGGAUCGUGCCUUCUUUCCCCCCCUCCCCCUGAUCCGUCCUAACCCACCCACCCUCCUUUGCAACGGGGGGCUCCAUGCUGGAGCUGAUUCGAGGGGAGAUUUUUAGCCCCCUUCUACGUCUGCAACCUACCUGCAGAUCGGAAGGCUUCGGAGAAAAGCUCCCCCUUUUUCCCCCCUCUUCUUUCCUGGGCUUGCUUUAGCUGGGAAGCGUUGGUUGAAUGCACGCCAGCUCUGCAGCGCUGGCCCCGGGCGUGGACUCGCUCCAGUCCCCGCAGAGAGCUCGCACUUCCCCCGCCUCCAUCUCUCUGCUUUUUUCUUCCAAUCAGCCGGUCUCUUCGGCUCCCGGAUCCUUAGGCAACCUCACAGCCCUUCUUCACAAGUCCCCACUUUUCCAUCUGCUCCCUAAACGGGAUUGCAAAAAAGGAAGCAUUGGGGGGGGAGUGGGGGGGCUUCGAUCUCUCUCUCUGAUCUUAACAGGUUGUGGGUCUGUCUACGUCUCGGGGUGUGGAGAGAGAGAGAGAGAGAGAAUGUGCGUAUGUUUUUAUUGCUCUUUGCUUUUGCAACACUGUAGUCAAACGAGAAGAAGAGGGAGGAGGGGAAAGAGAAGAGAGCAAAGAGGGAAAGAGAGAGGAGGGGGGAAAUCUUACAUUUGCCACAAAUCCUCUCGGUUUGGCGCUUGUAAAACGAUCACAAAUCACACGCACUCGAUUUUAAUUCCUCCUGCGACCUCCCCUUUCUCCCCCCCCUUUCAAACGAUCGCAUCAAAAAAAUAGGAGGGGGGAGGGAAGAAAUCCAAAAUAAAUUAAAAAUAAACUCCGGAGGAGCGAAGACAAGCCUCCAGAUUAUUUCUGAGGGCAGACAUAUUUUUGGCAACAAUCGGAUAUUUUUUAAAGGUGUCAGUUUGCCUGCCUUGUCAACAACAGAGGGAGGGAGGAAAGGAGGGGUUUGUGACUCCCCGCGCCCCGUUGGGUAUUAUUGGCAGUAAUCUCGGGGCUGUUUUCGAAACCGUUGCGUGAAAACGACACUGGCAUAGAUUUCAGUCAAAACCAGACUUAUUUUCCUCCUCCCCCAUUCCCUUUUUUCGCUCGUUCGCUCUCUUUUUUUUUUUUAAUCUAAUUUUUUCCAGCUCCACCUUUGUUGUUAAGGGCGUCAUCUCCGGCCACAGCCAAUCAUCUGCUUUUGGAGUUGCCUGUCAAAUUAACGCUGAUUCCAAUACGCAAAAGCGACUUUUACAGACAUACCAAAAAUGCAAUUAGGAGUUAUGAGUUUAAGGAGGGGAGGGGCAGAGCAAGCUAAUCAACUCACUUCCCCCCGCCCCCCCUUCCCCCGGUAAAAACAGGCGAUCACGAAUGAGCUGUGUUUGCUUAUUUCCUGUUGUCCUUUUCAAAUAGAUGGGACUUGGAAAUCAUUUCUCUACCUUCUAGGAUUGUUUAUAGACUCUGCUUCUGGUGUGGUUCCUGAUUUGAAUAUCAAUAGCUAUUAAAAUGAAAAAUGAAAAUGAAAAUGAAUGACAUCUCAAAUGCAAAGAUGUAUCUCUGAACACUAAUGUCAGGAUCAUUCAGACCAUGGUGUUCCCAUUCUCUAUGUAGGGAUGUGAAAGUUGGACAAUGAAAAAAGCGGAUAAGAGAAAAAUCAACUCCUUUGAAAUGUGGUGUUGGAGGAGAGCUCUGCGGAUACCAUGGACUACAAAAAAGACAAAUAAUUGGGUGCUAGAACAAAUUAAACCAGAAGUGUCACUUUUGGAAGCAUAAUGAGAAGACAUGAUUCACUAGAAACGACAAUAAUGCUGGGAAAAACAGAAGGGAGCAGAAAAAGAGGAAGGCCAAACAAGAUGGACUGAUUCAAUAAAGGAAGCCACAGACCUGAACUUACAAGAUCUGAACAGGGUGGUUCAUGACAGAUGCUAUUGGAGGUCACUGAUUCAUAAGGUCGCCAUAAGUUUUAAUCGACUUGAAGGCACAUAACAACAAAGCUAUUAUUACAUAUCCUUCACCUUUACUGUGAGUAGCUCCAGACAACAUAUGUGCCUUUCCCCUCACUCCAUUUCAUCCUCACAACAACCCUGUGAGGGAGUGUAGGCUGAGAGUGACUAACUGGACCAAAACCUCUGAUGAGUCUCAUGGGAUUGGAACCUGGGUAUCUCAAGUCUAAGGCUACCAGUCUAGCCAGAACACCACACUCUUUUCACUUCCUGGCCCUUCAUGCCGUUCCUUACUUCUUCAGGCCACCAGCCCCACCACUUGUUUCUCUCACUGUACCUGCUAUAUCUAACUGGAGUGCUUUCAGCUUUCCUACCUACAGUUUUGGCCCAAUUCUCACUGUGGUGAUCCCUUCAGGUUGCAGAUGAGGGUUGAGAUGAUUGAAUGCCCCUCUAUUUUAAAAAGUGAAUCCUGGCACAUAGAAAAGUAGCACAUCAGGAGUAAGGACAGCCUACACCACUUUUUGACAUUUAGUUUUCUGUGUGGAGGAAAUUCUUUUGUCAGUAUCCUCUGUCUCCAAGACAUAUUCCUUCAGUGAAAUAACAGCAGAAUCUCUGGAGCUGCAAUCGUCACCCCAGAAGUUAUCUGUACAGAUGGUUGUGUGUUCCUGGGGAGUGCACAGUAUGCUCCUUUUGUUUCACAUAUUGAAUAAAGCAAAACCAGGUAUCAAUAUAA